rnacentral:rRNA from 1 species
AGAAAUCUCACCAGGCCCGGACACUGGAAGGAUUGACAGAUUGAUAGCUCUUCCUUGAUUCGGUGGGUGGUGUUGCAUGGCUGUUCUUAGUUGGUUGAGUGAUUUGUCUUGUUAAUUCCUAUAACGAACGAGACCUUAACCUGCUAAAUAGUGACGCGGUUCAUCGAACCGUGGGCCACUUCUUAGAGGGACUAUCGGAUUCAAACCGAUGGAAGUGUGAGGCAAUAA